UUGGGUGACGAGUGGCGGACGGGUGAGUAAUGUCUGGGAAACUGCCUGAUGGAGGGGGAUAACUACUGGAAACGGUAGCUAAUACCGCAUAACGUCGCAAGACCAAAGAGGGGGACCUUCGGGCCUCUUGCCAUCAGAUGUGCCCAGAUGGGAUUAGCUAGUAGGUGGGGUAAUGGCUCACCUAGGCGACGAUCCCUAGCUGGUCUGAGAGGAUGACCAGCCACACUGGAACUGAGACACGGUCCAGACUCCUACGGGAGGCAGCAGUGGGGAAUAUUGCACAAUGGGCGCAAGCCUGAUGCAGCCAUGCCGCGUGUAUGAAGAAGGCCUUCGGGUUGUAAAGUACUUUCAGCGGGGAGGAAGGCGAUACGGUUAAUAACCGUGUCGAUUGACGUUACCCGCAGAAGAAGCACCGGCUAACUCCGUGCCAGCAGCCGCGGUAAUACGGAGGGUGCAAGCGUUAAUCGGAAUUACUGGGCGUAAAGCGCACGCAGGCGGUCUGUCAAGUCGGAUGUGAAAUCCCCGGGCUCAACCUGGGAACUGCAUUCGAAACUGACAGGCUAGAGUCUUGUAGAGGGGGGUAGAAUUCCAGGUGUAGCGGUGAAAUGCGUAGAGAUCUGGAGGAAUACCGGUGGCGAA
rnacentral:rRNA from 1 species